rnacentral:lncRNA from 1 species
CACGAGCCCAAAGAAAGCUUUAUUUGUUCAUUUCAUACUGGUGUGCACACAGCUUGGUGACAAGAAAAAUGAACAGAAAAAAUGAAUGGAAUUAGAAAAACAAUAUAAGUAAUCUUUACUGAUAAUGAUUUAUUUGUUUAAUAAAUAACUCUCUCUGCUAAAUGACCUUCUAGGAUACUAACCCACUAUUUUAGCUUAUCAAUCAAGUUUCUUUGAUAUCAUCCAAGGUCCUUAUGGGCACCUAAAGGAAACAAAGAUGAGAGGAAGAACCUUUGUGUCAAUGGCAGGCACCACCUAGUGGCAGCAGGUGAUGAAACCUCAUGUUGGCAUGAUGUCUCCAGCAAGAAUGAAGAUGAAAGGUUUUCAAUAGGUGGUUCAGACAUUCCUGGUCUUGAAGAAGCAUGGUUCUCUUCGAUUCUAAAGCAAGAAGGUUGUACCUAGAAAAAUAAUACAACUAAUGGACCCCAAGAUGAUUAUUCAAAGAAUUAGGCUACAAAUCUGACCUGCAGGUAGAAUUAUGGCCACAAAAGUUUUCUCAGUCUUUGUGUAACUUUGUAUAGUCACACCUCUUUAUAAAGACCUCAGUGUUGUUGUUUUUUUUUUUUCCACUUAAAGACCUCUGUAUUUAAG